ACUAGUCUGGGAUACCACUUGGAAACAAGGUGCUAAUACCGGAUAAGAAAGACGGAUCGCAUGAUCAGCUUUUAAAGGGCGGCGUAAGCUGUCGCUAUGGGAUGGCCCCGCGGUGCAUUAGCUAGUUGGUAAGGUAAAGGCUUACCAAGGCGAUGAUGCAUAGCCGAGUUGAGAGACUGAUCGGCCACAUUGGGACUGAGACACGGCCCAAACUCCUACGGGAGGCAGCAGAG
rnacentral:rRNA from 1 species